rnacentral:lncRNA from 1 species
UGUCCGGUACAGCCACUGAAAUUCAGCAGAAAAGCCAUCAAACAGGAAGUGAAGUAAUAUCUCAGCAAAUCUUUCAGAUAUCAACACCAAACUUGGUAUGCACGUGGAAGACACUACAACAUGUUCCCCAUGUGCAAAGGCAACUUCAUAUCUUCAUAAAAUGAUUGAUAUAAAGCAUUUAUAUUGCAGUGUAAAAAUGUGGACACUACUCGCCCUAUACGGGCGCCAUCUUGGCUACGUCGCGAAAGAGGAGGAGCCAUUUUAACAGGUUUUCAAUUCAUUUCUAAAACAAUGGCGGACGAGAUGGCUACGGUGGCUAGCAAUAGCUCACGAGGCUACAGACCGUAAAUGCCAAAGAAAAGGACUCACUCUGAAGACUUUUCCAAACAACACUUUGAACAGGUUUCCCCAUCUCCUCCCAUACCAUGGGCCAGAGGAGCACGACCACCUGGGUGAGGAGUUUCUGAAUUAUCAGACCAUGCCAACCACCUCCCUUCAGGACGAAACUGAGAUGGAAAGCUUCUGGGCUGGAAUGGCAACACGGAAACAUAAGGUAUACUUUUUUUUCGCUUUCUUUUUGGCAGGUGUGGCUUGGCUACAUCUGUUGCUAUUAUUGAUGCAUGCCUAUAUCGU